UCGGUCUUUUUUCACUCUUUCACUAGUGUUUCAACUCUUCCGAACAAGAUUUCGCUCCCUCACUUUGAAAUUUCUACAUUUAGAGAAAGAUACUAAGCUUUGUUGUUCUACCUCAUUCAAUUACAUCUAAGUACUGGUUUUGAAGAUGGAAGAACACGAGAAUGGUGCCAACGCUGGCGAAGAGGAACCGAUGAUAGGCCCGGGCCCGGCCCCUCGGGCUCGGCCCAAGCGACCCCUUCAGUUCGAGCAUGCCUACCUCAACGCUUUACCCUCCGCCAACAUGUACGAGAAAAGUUAUAUGCACCGUGACGUGGUUACGCAUGUCGCUGUCUCAGCUGCGGAUUUCUUCAUCACUGGAAGUUCCGAUGGGCAUUUGAAGUUUUGGAAGAAAAAGCCUAUUGGUAUUGAGUUUGCCAAACACUUCAGAUCUCAUCUUGGUCCAAUUGAAGGUCUAGCUGUUAGUCUUGAUGGUCUGCUCUGCUGCACAAUAUCAGAUGACCGCUCUGUAAAAAUAUACGAUGUAGUCAACUAUGACAUGAUGGUCAUGAUUCGUUUGCCAUAUACUCCUGGUGCUGUUGAAUGGGUUUACAAACAAGGGGAUGUCAAAGCCAGGCUUGCUAUUAGUGAUAGGAAUUCAUCUUUUGUGCACAUAUAUGAUGCACGAGCUGGUUCAAAUGAUCCCAUUGUCUCCAAAGAGAUACAUAUGUGUCCUAUCAAAGUUAUGAAGUACAACGCCGUAUAUGAUUCCGUACUUUCAGCAGAUGCGAAGGGGAUAAUUGAAUACUGGAGUCCUGUAACACUUCAAUUCCCAGAGGAUGAGGUCAAUUUUAAACUGAAAAGUGAUACUGACCUCUUUGAAAUUGCAAAAUGCAAGACUUCUGUUUCGGCUAUUGAGGUAAGUCCAGAUGGUAAACAAUUUUCCAUUACAUCACCUGAUCGAAGGAUACGUGUGUUUUGGUUCAGAACGGGGAAAUUAAGGCGAGUUUAUGAUGAAUCUUUAGAGGUUGCUCAAGAUCUCCAAAGAAGUGAUGCUCCAUUAUAUCGGUUGGAAGCUAUUGAUUUUGGUCGAAGAAUGGCUGUUGAGAAGGAAAUAGAAAAAACAGAAAGUGCACCACUUCCAAAUGCAGUCUUUGAUGAAAGUUCCAAUUUUCUUAUAUAUGCAACCUUGCUUGGGAUAAAAAUUGUUAAUCUGCACACCAAUAAAGUUAGUCGAAUACUUGGAAAGGUGGAGAAUAAUGAUAGGUUCUUAAGAAUAGCUUUAUAUCAAGGUGAUCGGAGUAGCAAAAGAGUAAGAAAGAUUCCUUCAGCAGCUGCAAAUGUUAAUGAGAGUAAGGAGCCUUUGACAGAUCCCACUCUCUUGUGUUGUGCCUUUAAAAAGCACAGAAUCUAUUUAUUCAGUCGAAGAGAGCCGGAGGAGCCUGAAGAUGCAACUAAAGGAAGAGAUGUGUUCAAUGAAAAACCUCCUGCUGAUGAACUUUUGGCAGUUUCAGACAUUGGAAAGUCAGUUACAACAUCACUUCCUGAGAAUGUGAUUCUACACACCACAAUGGGUGAUAUUCACAUGAAAUUAUACCCUGAGGAAUGUCCAAAAACUGUGGAGAAUUUCACAACACACUGCCGAAAUGGCUAUUAUGACAAUCUUAUUUUUCAUAGGGUCAUCAAAGGCUUCAUGAUUCAAACAGGAGAUCCUCUGGGAGAUGGCACUGGUGGGCAAUCUAUUUGGGGGAGAGAAUUUGAGGAUGAAUUUCAUAAAAGUUUGAGGCAUGAUAGACCGUUCACAGUUUCAAUGGCAAAUGCUGGCCCAAAUACAAAUGGCUCUCAGUUCUUUAUCACCACAGUGGCUACUCCAUGGUUGGACAACAAGCACACUGUAUUUGGUAGAGUUGCAAAGGGAAUGGAUGUUGUACAGGCCAUAGAGAAAGUGAAAACAGACAAGACAGACAAGCCAUAUCAAGAUGUUAAAAUUCUAAACGUCACUGUGCCGAAGUCUUGAAGGUCUUUGGUCUUUUUGGCUGGUGCAGUCAUCAGUCAUACAUUUACCGGUGGUACUUGGCCGAAGAAGAUUGAAAUAGAUAUCUUGAAGCUUCUUCCUUUAGCUUCAUAGAUUUCCUACGAACAGUAUGGGUUCAUGCUUACACUUCCGUUACAGGUUCCAUCUUCUUUUAUGUGACUAAUGGCUCAAGCUUACUGAUGCUGUCUUCUGUCCUCUGCUCUGCCAUUAUAAUGUGCUUUGCACGUCAAAGGAAUUAGGCUAAUAAUUUAACUCACGUAAAACAUGGACACCUCUGUUCCCAUCCAUCUUAAUUUGACCUGCAAUUUAUUAAAGCAGUCUGCAGCAAUCCUGGGGCUCUGGCGUACCUGUGUAUCUAAAACCUUAUAGUAAUUAUUUUUAAGCUAAAGCCUGUAAUAACAACUUAACAAGCCAGUGUUUAGACAAGGUGCAACGCAGUAAUUGUUGUUUGUGACAUCUUAGUGUUAUCGGUUAUGCUGCGUGCAUUAUUAGUGUUAAGAAUUUAAGUUAUGAAAGCACAAAAGCUUGGUGAUA